GGAGGGAUGGCCGAGUGGACGAAGGCGGCGGUCUUGAAAACCGCUGUGGCCUAGCGCCACCGAGGGUUCGAAUCCCUCUCCCUCCG
rnacentral:tRNA from 1 species